rnacentral:pre_miRNA from 1 species
UGGAAGAAUCCGAGUUACUUAAGCCCAACGUACAGAAACUUGAAUCUGAAUGCCGUUCUAGAUUGGCUUGCUAGAAGUUUGUUCGUUUGGCUCGAGUUAUGCGGAUUCUUCUGAUC